rnacentral:rRNA from 1 species
AUGGAGAGUUUGAUCCUGGCUCAGGACGAACGCUGGCGGCGUGCUUAACACAUGCAAGUCGAACGGAAAGGCCCUGCUUUUGUGGGGUGCUCGAGUGGCGAACGGGUGAGUAACACGUGAGUAACCUGCCCUUGACUUUGGGAUAACUUCAGGAAACUGGGGCUAAUACCGGAUAGGAGCUCCUGCUGCAUGGUGGGGGUUGGAAAGUUUCGGCGGUUGGGGAUGGACUCGCGGCUUAUCAGCUUGUUGGUGGGGUAGUGGCUUACCAAGGCUUUGACGGGUAGCCGGCCUGAGAGGGUGACCAGCCACACUGGGACUGAGACACGGACCAGACUCCUACGGGAGGCAGCAGUGGGGAAUAUUGCACAAUGGGCGGAAGCCUGAUGCAGCAACGCCGCGUGCGGGAUGACGGCCUUCGGGUUGUAAACCGCUUUCGCCUGUGACGAAGCGUGAGUGACGGUAAUGGGUAAAGAAGCACCGGCUAACUACGUGCCAGCAGCCGCGGUGAUACGUAGGGUGCGAGCGUUGUCCGGAUUUAUUGGGCGUAAAGGGCUCGUAGGUGGUUGAUCGCGUCGGAAGUGUAAUCUUGGGGCUUAACCCUGAGCGUGCUUUCGAUACGGGUUGACUUGAGGAAGGUAGGGGAGAAUGGAAUUCCUGGUGGAGCGGUGGAAUGCGCAGAUAUCAGGAGGAACACCAGUGGCGAAGGCGGUUCUCUGGGCCUUUCCUGACGCUGAGGAGCGAAAGCGUGGGGAGCGAACAGGCUUAGAUACCCUGGUAGUCCACGCUGUAAACGGUGGGUACUAGGUGUGGGGUCCAUUCCACGGGUUCCGUGCCGUAGCUAACGCUUUAAGUACUCCGCCUGGGGAGUACGGCCGCAAGGCUAAAACUCAAAGGAAUUGACGGGGGCCCGCACAAGCGGUGGAGCAUGUGGUUUAAUUCGAAGCAACGCGCAGAACCUUACCAGCCCUUGACAUUUGGUGCUACAUUCGGAGACGGAUGGUUCCCUUCGGGGACGCCAGGACAGGUGCUGCAUGGCUGUCGUCAGCUCGUG